rnacentral:rRNA from 1 species
AACGAACGCUGGCGGCAUGCCUAGCACAUGCAAGUCGAACGAGACCUCCGGGUCUUGUGGCGCACCGGUGCGUAACGCGUGGGAACCUACCCUUAGGUUACGAAUACCUCCCCUUAGGGGGUCCUAAUACCGGUUAAGGUCUUCGGACCUAAGAUUUUUCGCCAUUGGAUGGGCGCGCGUUAGAUUGGCUAGUUGGUAGGGUAAAAGCCUAUCAAGGCGAUGAUCCAUGGCUGGUCGGAGAGCAGGACCGGCCACGCUGGCCCUGCGACACGGCCUAGACUCCGACGGAAGGCAGCAGUAGAGAAUAUUGUACAAUGGGCGAAGGCCUGAUCCAGCCAUGCCGCGUAAGUGGUGAAGGCCGUAGGGUAGUAAAGCUCUUUUACCCGAGACGAUAAUGACGGUACCGGGAGAAUAAGCACCGGCUAACUCCGUG